CCAAUAGCGUAUAUUAAAGUUGUUGCAGUUAAAAAGCUCGUAGUUGAAUUUCGGGGUCAGUAGAUUGGUCGUGCCACUGGUAUGCACUGGUCUUACUGGCUCCUCCUUCCUGAUGAACCGUAAUGCCAUUAAUUUGGUGUUGCGGGGAGACUGGACUGUUACUUUGAAAAAAUUAGAGUGUUUAAAGCAGGCUAACGCUUGAAUACAUUAGCAUGGAAUAAUGAAAUAGGACGUUCGAUCUUAUUUUGUUGGUUUCUAAGAUUGACGUAAAGAUUAAUAGGGAUAGUUGGGGGCAUUAGUAUUCAAUUGUCAGAGGUGAAAUUCUUGGAUUUAUUGAAGACUAACUACUGCGAAAGCAUUUGCCAAGGAUGUUUUCAUUAAUCAAGAACGAAAGUUAGGGGAUCGAAGACGAUCAGAUACCGUCGUAGUCUUAACCAUAAACUAUGCCGACUAGGGAUCGGAUGAUGUUAAUUUUUUAAUGACUCAUUCGGCGCCUUACG
rnacentral:rRNA from 1 species